UGGGGAAUUUUGGACAAUGGGGGAAACCCUGAUCCAGCCAUCCCGCGUGUGCGAUGAAGGCCUUCGGGUUGUAAAGCACUUUUGGCAGGAAAGAAACGUCGCGGGUUAAUACCCCGCGAAACUGACGGUACCUGCAGAAUAAGCACCGGCUAACUACGUGCCAGCAGCCGCGGUAAUACGUAGGGUGCAAGCGUUAAUUGGAAUUACUGGGCGUAAAGCGUGCGCAGGCGGUUCGGAAAGAAAGAUGUGAAAUCCCAGAGCUUAACUUUGGAACUGCAUUUUUAACUACCGGGCUAGAGUGUGUCAGAGGGAGGUGGAAUUCCGCGUGUAGCAGUGAAAUGCGUAGAUAUGCGGAGGAACACCGAUGGCGAAGGCAGCCUCCUGGGAUAACACUGACGCUCAUGCACGAAAGCGUGGGGAGCAAACAGGAUUAGAUACCCUGGUAGUCCACGCCCUAAACGAUGUCAACUAGCUGUUGGGGCCUUCGGGCCUUGGUAGCGCAGCUAACGCGUGAAGUUGACCGCCUGGGGAGUACGGUCGCAAGAUUAAAACUUAAAUGAAUUGACGGGGUCAUA
rnacentral:rRNA from 1 species